rnacentral:tRNA from 1 species
GGAACCUUGGCGCAGCUGGUUAGCGCGCAGGUCUCAUACUCGCUAUGAUUCGGUCCCAGAUCGGAGUAAUCCUGAGGUCGUGAGUUCGAUCCUCACAGGUUCCA